UAACCUGCCCAAGAGAUCGGGAUAACACCUGGAAAACAGAUGCUAAUACCGGAUAACAACAGAUGAUGCCUAUCAACUGUUUAAAAGAUGGUUCUGCUAUCACUCUUGGAUGGACCUGCGGUGCAUUAGCUAGUUGGUAGGGUAACGGCCUACCAAGGCGAUGAUGCAUAGCCGAGUUGAGAGACUGAUCGGCCACAUUGGGACUGAGACACGGCCCAAACUCCUACGGGAGGCAGCAGAG
rnacentral:rRNA from 1 species